AACUUGGGUUGUGCCACUGGACACCCUAGCUUUGUGAUGUCCUGCUCUUUCACCAACCAAGUGAUUGCUCAGCUUGAGUUGUGGAAUGAGAGGAAGAGCGGCAAGUAUGAGAAGAAGGUCUAUGUCUUGCCUAAGCACCUUGAUGAGAAGGUUGCUGCUCUUCAUCUUGGAAAGCUCGGAGCCAAGCUCACCAAGCUCAGCAAGGAGCAGGCUGACUAUAUCAGCGUUCCAAUUGAGGGUCCAUACAAGCCUGCUCACUACAGGUACUGAAAGGCCUGCAGGAAGAAGAGAACUGAGAAGAACAUUAUACCUGGACGGGUUGAAUUUUUUUUCUUAUUAUUUUUUUGUUGGUUUCAUUUACGUUGCGAACGGAUUGUGCUAGAACUCUAGGUGCUUAAUUUUGUUAGUAGUUUUUGUGGUCGGGAAGGUAUGGUCGGGAAAGCUAUGGAUGAUUUGGUCUCACUUGAAGACCUGGGAUGCGGUUUGAAUAACGAUUGAAAGGUGGGAUGUGUGGGAUAUAUCUGGUGCAGUAUUUGUUUUGCUGCAUCUGAUUAUCCAUUUACUAGCACGAAAACGAGUUCUAGAAAAAGAAAAUGAACUAAAUUGCUUCAUUUUGAAAUUUUGUUCC
rnacentral:lncRNA from 1 species